AACGAACGCUGGCGGCAUGCCUAACACAUGCAAGUCGAACGAGACCUUCGGGUCUAGUGGCGCACGGGUGCGUAACGCGUGGGAACCUGCCCUUAGGUUCGGAAUAACUCCCCGAAAGGGGUGCUAAUACCGGAUAAUGUCUUCGGACCAAAGAUUUAUCGCCUUUGGAUGGGCCCGCGUUGGAUUAGCUAGUUGGUAGGGUAAAAGCCUACCAAGGCGACGAUCCAUAGCUGGUCUGAGAGGAUGAUCAGCCACACUGGGACUGAGACACGGCCCAGACUCAUACGGGAGGCAGCAGUGGGAAAUAUUGGACAAUGGGCGAAAGACUGAUCCAGCAAUGCCGCGUGAGUGAUGAAGGCCUUAGGGUUGUAAAGCUCUUUUACCCGGGAUGAUAAUGACAGUACCGGGAGAAUAAGCUCCGGCUAACUCCGUG
rnacentral:rRNA from 1 species